rnacentral:tRNA from 1 species
GGCUCCAUAGUGUAGUGGUUAGAAUGUCUGCUUUACACGCAGGAGGUCCUAGGUUUGCGUCCCAGGGGCGCCG